AAGGCAGCAGGCACGCAAAUUACCCACUCCCGGCACGGGGAGGUAGUGACAAAAAAUAACGAUACGGGACUCAUCCGAGGCCCCGUAAUCGGAAUGAGAACACUCUAAAUCCUUUAACGAAAAUCUAUUGGAAGGCAAGUCUGGUGCCAGCAGCUGCGGUAAUUCCAGCUCCAAUAGCGUAUAUUAAAGUUGUUGCGGUUAAAAAGCUCGUAGUUGGUUCUGCGUGCCACGCUGUCGGUUCACCGCCUGCCGGUGCAACUGGCAUGCCGUGGCAUGUCCUGUCGGUGGCGGAUAGGCCCCGACGGCGGCCCCGAUUCUUUACGUCUCGGGUGCUGUCCGAGGGUGUCCUUGUACGCCGGCUCAAUCCUACCGCGGUGCUCUUUACCGAGUGUCGAGGUAGGCCGACACUGUUUACUUUGAACAAAUUAGAGUGCUUAAAGCAGGCUCUUAAAUCAGCCUGAAUAGUAAUGCAUGGAAUAAUGGAACAGGACCUUGGUUCUAUUUUGUUGGUUUUCGGAAUCCAAGGUAAUGAUCAAUAAGGACAGGCGGGGGCAUUCGUAUUGCGACGUUAGACUUGGCAAAUGCUUUCGCGGUGAAAUUCUUGGAUCGUCGCAAGACGCACUAAAGCGAAAGCAUUUGCCAAGUAUGUCUUAAUUGAUCAAGAACGAAAGUUAGAGGCUCGAAGGCGAUCAGAUACCGCCCUAGUUCUAACCAUAAACGAUGCCAGCCAGCGAUCCGCCGACGUUCCUCCGAUGACUCGGCGGGGAGCUUUCCCCGGGAAACCAAAGCUUUUGGGUUCCGGGGGAAGUAUGGUUGCAAAGCUGAAACUUAAAGGAAUUGACGGAAGGGCACUACAAGGAGUGGGGCCUGCGGUUUAAUUUGACUCAACACGGGAAAGCUCACCAGGCCCGGACAUUGGAAGGAUUGACAGAUCGAUAGCUCUUUCUCGAUUCAUUGGGUAGUGGUGCAUGGCCGUUCGUAGUUGAUGGACUGAUUUGUCUGGUUAAUUCUGAUAACGAACGAGACUCUCGCCUAUUAACUAGACGAUAUACCGGUAUAUAUUACCUACCGGCGAGAUUUAUUCUUCUU
rnacentral:rRNA from 1 species